rnacentral:rRNA from 1 species
UACGUAGGGUGCGAGCGUUAAUCGGAAUUACUGGGCGUAAAGUGUGCGCAGGCGGCGCCGCAAGUCGAGUGUGAAAGCCCCGGGCUUAACUUGGGAAUUGCGCUCGAAACUAUGGUGCUGGAGUGUGGCAGAGGAAAGUGGAAUUCCACGUGUAGCGGUGAAAUGCGUAGAGAUGUGGAGGAACACCGAUGGCGAAGGCAGCCUUCUGGGCCAACACUGACGCUCAUGCACGAAAGCGUGGGGAGCAAACAGG